UCUUGUGCUCCGAUUAAAAAGUCUGUAUUUUGGUAAUUAUUGUGAUUUUCUUUGUGUAAGUGCAUUAUUAUGGAUGUAUGGAGGUUCCGAUGUAUACUUGGACUUGGAAUACAAGCAGUAUUUUUGAAGAAAAAGUGAUUCUUAAAGUUGAUGCAUACGGAAUUACUCAUUAGCAUAUCCUAAUUGCUGGGAUAUAUUCUGCAAAGACCCGAAAGCCGUUGAGCUGGUGACUGAGUUCUAGAAAGCAAGGAUUAUUACAUAUAGGAGCAAGUGCAAAGAAUGAUAGUGCCAAUAAUUUAAUAGGAAUAGUCUGCAGAGAGGAUGCCGGUGUGCUAAGACUGGCUGUAAUUUCGAAAUUAACACACGUCUCCCAGGUGCGAAAUUUUCUGACUGCAAUCCUGUUGCUGACUCGCGGACAGAAUUCUCAAAUAAGCCUCGCUGAUUCUUUUGACUCUCCUCUGCAUCAACAGGUGGCGCCACCUCCUCGAUCUGCUUUUUCGGAUUCUCCUAUUGCCAUGUCA